UACGUAGGGUGCGAGCGUUGUCCGGAAUUAUUGGGCGUAAAGAGCUCGUAGGCGGCCUGUCGCGUCGGAUGUGAAAGCCCGGGGCUUAACCCCGGGUCUGCAUUCGAUACGGGCAGGCUAGAGUGUGGUAGGGGAGAUCGGAAUUCCUGGUGUAGCGGUGAAAUGCGCAGAUAUCAGGAGGAACACCGGUGGCGAAGGCGGAUCUCUGGUACGGCACUGACGCUGAGACGCGAAAGCGUGGGGAGCGAACAGG
rnacentral:rRNA from 1 species